rnacentral:rRNA from 1 species
GACGAACGCUGGCGGCGUGCUUAACACAUGCAAGUCGAACGGAAAGGCCCUGCUGUUGUGGGGUGCUCGAGUGGCGAACGGGUGAGUAACACGUGAGUAACCUGCCCUUGACUUCUGGAUAACUUCAGGAAACUGGGGCUAAUACCGGAUAGGAGCUCCGGCUUCAUGGUGGGUGUUGGAAAGUUUCGGCGGUUGGGGAUGGACUCGCGGCUAAUCAGCUUGUUGGUGGGGUAGUGGCUUAGCAUGUCUUUGACGGGUAGCCGCCCUGAGGGGGUGGACAGACACAUUGGAAACGAGCUACGGCCCGGACUCGUACGGGAGGCAGAAGUGGGGAAUAUUGGACCAUGGGCGGAAGCGUGAUGGAGGAACGCCGCGUGCGGGAAGACGGCCUUCGGGGUGUAAGCCGCUUUGGCGUGUGACGAAGCGUGAGUGACGGUAAUGGAGAGAGAAGAACCGGCUAAUUACGU